rnacentral:rRNA from 1 species
CUAUGACGGGUAUCCGGCCUGAGAGGGUGAUCGGACACACUGGAACUGAGACACGGUCCAGACUCCUACGGGAGGCAGCAGUAGGGAAUAUUGCUCAAUGGGCGAAAGCCUGAAGCAGCAACGCCGCGUGGAGGAUGAAGGUUUUAGGAUUGUAAACUCCUUUUCUAAGAGAAGAUUAUGACGGUAUCUUAGGAAUAAGCACCGGCUAACUCCGUGCCAGCAGCCGCGGUAAUACGGAGGGUGCAAGCGUUACUCGGAAUCACUGGGCGUAAAGAACGCGUAGGCGGGGUAAUAAGUCAGAUGUGAAAUCCUGUAGCUUAACUACAGAACUGCAUUUGAAACUG